rnacentral:rRNA from 1 species
AUUGAACGCUGGCGGCGUGGAUAAGACAUGCAAGUCGAACGGGAUUCAAGCGGUAGCAAUACCACUUGAAUUCAGUGGCGAACGGGUGCGUAACACGUGAGCAACCUGCCCGGAAGUGGGGGAUAGCUCGCCGAAAGGCGAAUUAAUAACGCAUGCGGUUGAAAAACCAAAGCAGCAAUGCGCUUCCGGAUGGGCUCGCGGCCUAUCAGCUCGUUGGGGAGGUAACGGCUCACCAAGGCUUUGACGGGUAGCUGGUCUGAGAGGACGACCAGCCACACUGGAACUGAGACACGGUCCAGACACCUACGGGUGGCAGCAGUCGAGAAUUUUUCACAAUGGGGGAAACCCUGAUGGAGCGACGCCGCGUGGAGGAUGAAGGUUUUCGGAUUGUAAACUCCUGUCAAGCGGGAACAAGAAAGUGAUAGUACCGCUAGAGGAAGAGACGGCUAACUCUGUGCCAGCCGCCGCAGUAA